GACCCUGUUGAGCUUGACUCUAGUUU
rnacentral:ncRNA from 5 species